rnacentral:rRNA from 1 species
GACGAACGCUGGCGGCGUGCCUAAUACAUGCAAGUCGAGCGCAGGAAAUCAUCCGAACCCUUCGGGGGGACGUUGAUGGAAUGAGCGGCGGACGGGUGAGUAACACGUAAAGAACCUGCCCUCAGGUCUGGGAUAACCACGAGAAAUCGGGGCUAAUACCGGAUGGGUCAUCGGACCGCAUGGUCCGAGGAUGAAAGGCGCUUCGGCGUCGCCUGGGGAUGGCUUUGCGGUGCAUUAGCUAGUUGGUGGGGUAAGGGCCCACCAAGGCGACGAGGCAUAGCCGACCUGAGGGGGUGAGCGGCCACACUGGGACUGAGACACGGCCCAGACUCCUACGGGGGGCAGCAGUAGGGAAUCUUCCAAAGUGGACGAAUGUCUGAUGGAGCAACGCCGCGUGAACGAUGAAGGCCUUCGGGUCGUAAAGUUCUGUUGUAAGGGAAGAACAAGUGCCGCAGGCAAUGGCGGCACCUUGACGGUACCUUGCGAGAAAGCCACGGCUAACUACGUGCCAGCAGCCGCCGUAA